rnacentral:rRNA from 1 species
UACGUAGGGUGCGAGCGUUUAAUCGGAAUUACUGGGCGUAAAGCGUGCGCAGGCGGUUCGCCAAGUCAGAUGUGAAAUCCCCGGGCUUAACCUGGGAACUGCGUUUGAAACUACAAGGCUAGAGUGUGGCAGAGGGGGGGUGGAAUUCCACGUGUAGCAGUGAAAUGCGUAGAGAUGUGGAGGAACACCGAUGGCGAAGGCAGCCCCCUGGGUUAACACUGACGCUCAGGCACGAAAGCGUGGGGAGCAAACAGGGA